GGGCCGGUAGCUCAGCUUGGUAGAGCGCUUGACUUUUAAUCAAGCGGUCGCGAGUUCAAAUCUCGUCCGGCCCG
rnacentral:tRNA from 2 species